GACGAACGCUGGCGGCGUGCUUAACACAUGCAAGUCGAACGGAAAGGCCCUGCUUUUGUGGUGUGCUCGAGUGGCGAACGGGUGAGUAACACGUGAGUAACCUGCCCUUGACUUUGGGAUAACUUCAGGAAACUGGGGCUAAUACCGGAUAGGAGCUCCUGCUGCAUGGUGGGGGUUGGAAAGUUUCGGCGGUUGGGGAUGGACUCGCGGCUUAUCAGCUUGUUGGUGGGGUAGUGGCUUACCAAGGCUUUGACGGGUAGCCGGCCUGAGAGGGUGACCGGCCACAUUGGGACUGAGAUAGGGCCCAGACUCCUACGGGAGGCAGCAGGGGGGAAUAUUGCACAGUGGGCGGAAGCCUGAGACAGCAACGCCGCGUGCGGGAUAACGGCUUUCGGGUUGAAAACCGUUUUCGCCUGUGACGAAGCGGGAGUGACGGUAAUGGGUAAAGAAGCACCGGCUAACUACGUG
rnacentral:rRNA from 1 species